GGGGCCAUGACCGAGUGGCUGAAGGUGCAGGAUUGCUAAUCCUGUGUAGGGGUAACCCUACCGAGGGUUCGAAUCCCUCUGGCUCCG
rfam:Plesiocystis pacifica SIR-1 1103186006071, whole genome shotgun sequence.